rnacentral:rRNA from 1 species
CCUACGGGAGGCAGCAGUGAGGAAUAUUGGUCAAUGGACGAGAGUCUGAACCAGCCAAGUAGCGUGAAGGAUGACUGCCCUAUGGGUUGUAAACUUCUUUUAUAUGGGAAUAAAACAGGGUAGGCAUACACUCUUGUAUGUACCAUAUGAAUAAGGAACGGCUAACGCCGUGCCAGCAGCCGCGGUAAUACGGAGGAUCCGAGCGUUAUCCGGAGUUAGUGGGUUGAAAGGGAGCGUAGGUGGGUUGUUAAGUCAGUUGGGAAAGUUUGCGGCUCAACCGUAAAAUUGCAGUGGAAACUGGCAGUCUUGAGUACCGUAGAGGUGGGCGGCAUUCGUGGUGUCGCGGU